CAGCCUAUUUUAAUUCUCAACUUAGUGCUUAUCAUUACCAUUUAUUUAUUUUGUUUAACUUAUUUUUAUAUUUGUUUAUUCUUUUUUUUUUUUGAGACAGAGUUUUCCUCUUGUUGUCAAGGCUGGAGUGCAAUGGCAAGAUCUCAGCUCACUGCAACCUCUGCCUCCUAGGUUCAAGCGAUUCUCCCGCCUCAGCCUCCUGAGUAGCUGGGAUUACAGCACAUUCUCACCAAGACCAGUAGCAAAUGAGCCAAUCAUCAUUACAAUGUAUCUGAAGUACCCAAGGAUGUAAUUCCAGCAACCAAUGCAAACACAGUGGUGCACUUGGAGGUGAAAGUAAAGUUCAUGGUUCUGAUCCUAGCUUAAUUCAGCACAUUAUCUCCUAGCUUUAAAGAAAACCACACAUCUACAACCAUCUGAUCUUUGACAAACUUGAUGAAAACAAGCAAUGGAGAAAGAAUUCCCUGUUUAAUCAAUGAUGUUGGGAAAACAGGCUAGCGAUGGGCAGAAAGCAGAAACUGGACCCCUUCCUGACACCUUACACUAAAAUUAACUCCAGAUGGAUUAAAGACUUAAACAUAAGACCUGGCACCAUCAAAACCCUAGAAG
rnacentral:lncRNA from 13 species